rnacentral:rRNA from 2 species
GAUGAACGCUGGCGGCGCGCCUAACACAUGCAAGUCGAACGGUUAAAGCACCUUUUAGGUGUGUAUAAAGUGGCGAACGGCUGAGUAACACGUGGGCAACCUGCCCUCCUCUUGGGGAUAGCCUCGGGAAACCGAGGAUAAUACCCGAUACUUCAAUGUGGCCGCAUGACGACAUUGAGAAAGCUUUUGCGGAGAAGGAUGGGCCCGCGGCCUGUUAGCUUGUUGGUGGGGUAGAGGCCUACCAAGGCAAUGAUGGGUAGCUGGGUUGAGAGACCGACCAGCCAGAUUGGGACUGAGACACGGCCCAGACUCCUACGGGAGGCAGCAGUGGGGAAUCUUGCACAAUGGGCGAAAGCCUGAUGCAGCGACGCCGCGUGCGGGACGAAGGCCUUUCGGGUUGUAAACCGCUUUCCAGCAGGGACGAGGCGAAAGUGACGGUACCUGCAGAAGAAGCCC